rnacentral:rRNA from 1 species
UACGUAGGGUGCGAGCGUUAAUCGGAAUUACUGGGCGUAAAGCGUGCGCAGGCGGCUUUGCAAGACAGAUGUGAAAUCCCCGGGCUUAACCUGGGAACUGCAUUUGUGACUGCAUGGCUGGAGUGCGGCAGAGGGGGAUGGAAUUCCGCGUGUAGCAGUGAAAUGCGUAGAUAUGCGGAGGAACACCGAUGGCGAAGGCAAUCCCCUGGGCCUGCACUGGCGCUCAUGCACGAAAGCGUGGGGAGCAAACAGG